rnacentral:rRNA from 1 species
AGGAUUAACGCUGGCGGCGUGCCUAACACAUGCAAGUCGAACGAGGUAGCAAUACCUAGUGGCAGACGGGUGAGUAACACGUGGGCAACCUACCAUCGAGUGGGGGAUAACUAGCCGAAAGGUUAGCUAAUACCGCAUGAAACGCACCGGGGCAUCCCGGAACGUUAAAAGGAGCAAUCCGCUUGAUGACGGGCCCGCGCCCGAUUAGCUUGUUGGUGGGGUAAUGGCCUACCAAGGCUCCGAUCGGUAGCUGGUUUGAGAGAGCGACCAGCCACACUGGGACUGAGAAACGGCCCAGACUCCUACGGGAGGCAGCAGUGAGGAAUUUUCCGCAAUGGGCGAAAGCCUGACGGAGCGACGCCGCGUGUGGGAAGAAGGGCCUUCGGGGUCGUAAACCACGUGUCGAAGGGGACUAUACUGAAGGUACCCUUGGAGGAAGCCCCGGCUAACUCGUGCCAGCCAGCCGC